rnacentral:rRNA from 1 species
GACGAACGCUGGCGGCGUGCCUAACACAUGCAAGUCGAGCGGAGAUUGCAGCAAUGUGAUCUUAGCGGCGGACGGGUGAGUAACGCGUGGGCAACCUACCUCUAACUGGGGGAUAACACAGGGAAACUUGUGCUAAUACCGCAUAACGUCAUGGGAUGACAUCUUCCUAUGACCAAAGGAGUAAUCCGGUGAGAGAUGGGCCCGCGUCCAAUUAGCUAGUUGGUGAGGUAACGGCCCACCAAGGCGACGAUUGGUAGCCGAACUGAGAGGUUGAUCGGCCACAUUGGGACUGAGAUACGGCCCAGACUCCUACGGGAGGCAG